CCUCUUUAUCCGGUUGAUCCCUUCGAUCCUUCACCCACUCAGUAAAGAGAUGACUGGAAACAGAGGGACCGAUGACCCGGACACCGAGCUCCUUCUGCACGUACAGAACGUCUUCAUAAAGGGUGUUCACCUCGGCACAGAUCUGCAGCAGCCUCUGUCUCUCACGCAGGUCCUGCCUUCUGUAGUCUAUCGUNCUCUUUAUCCGGUUGAUCCCUUCGAUCCUUCACCCACUCAGUAAAGAGAUGACUGGAAACAGAGGGACCGAUGACCCGGACACCGAGCUCCUUCUGCACGUACAGAACGUCUUCAUAAAGGGUGUUCACCUCGGCACAGAUCUGCAGCAGCCUCUGUCUCUCACGCAGGUCCUGCCUUCUGUAGUCUAUCGUGUGGAUUCUCAGGGUUGACUGCCACACAGCGACCAAAUCAGUCAGCUCUGAUAUGGUCAGUUGGACUUCAGAGAGACCCUUGCUGUCGCGGCCUCCUCUCAGCGAUAUCAGAGUCAGGUCGGCCACCUCAUUGUCACCGAACACAGCUGACACACCGUGGUUCCUAAAACAUUGGUCAAACUGGUCUUUAGAAAAUCUCCUAAUGUAAAGAAAUAGGUUUGUGUCCACCCACGUGGACUCCUCUUCCAUGUCAACAUCACCACCUGAGCUGACCUUGGAAGUUCCUGCUGCCACUGGGCUUGACAGAGAUUGAUCAGAGCUUGAUGGAGCGAUGUACUUCUCUAAUGUGUGACUGCUGCUGAUGACCUUGGAUUCCCCACUCCCUGAUGCCAUGGAGCUCAGAGAUUGAUCAGCGCUUGAUGGAGUGAUGUACUUCUCUAAUGUGUGACUGCUGCUGAGGACCUUGGAUUCCCCACUCCCUGAUGCCAUGGAGCUCAGAGAUUGAUCAGCGCUUGAUGGAGUGAUGUACUUCUCUAAUGUGUGACUGCUGCUGAGGACCUUGGAUUCCCCACUCCCUGAUGCCAUGGAGCUCAGAGAUUGAUCAGAGCUUGAUGGAGUGAUGUACUUCUCUAAUGUGUGACUGCUGCUGAGGACCUUGGAUUCCCCACUCCCUGAUGCCAUGGAGCUCAGAGAUUGAUCAGCGCUUGGAGCUGCACUGCAGUGCUUUUCCAAGGAUUGAUUUAUUGUAGAAGCCCCACUCCCUCCUGCCACUGAGCUUGACAGAGAAUGAUCCGCGCUUGAUGGAGCUGCCCUGUUCUUCUUCUCCCAGGUGUAACGGCUGACCCGGAAGUCCACCUCAGCACCAUCACCAGAUCUGACCCUGGAAGACCUACUCUCUGCUACCACAGAGCUCAGGGAAUGAUCAUGGCUUGAUGGAGAUGGAGCUCUGUGCUUUUCCCAGGCAUGACUGCUGCUGACCUGGGAUACCCCAUUCCCUGCUGCCACUGAGGUAAGGGAGUAACCAGAGCUCGAUGGAGCCCUGUGCUUCUCCCCUGGGUGACCGCUGCUGACCUGGGAUACCCCAUUCCCUGCUGCCACUGAGGUCAGGGAGUAACCAGAGCUCGAUGGAGCCCCGUGCUUCUCCCCUGGGUGACCGCUGCUGACCUGGGAUACCCCAUUCCCUGCUGCCACUGAGGUCAGGGAGUAACCAGAGCUCGAUGGAGCCCCGUGCUUCUCCCCUGGGUGACUGCUGCUGACCUGGGAUACCCCAUUCCCUGCUGCCACUGAGGUCAGGGAGUAACCAGAGCUCCAUGGAGCCCCGUGCUUCUCCCCUGGGUGACCGCUGCUGCUGGCAGUGGCCUGCUGGAGCA
rnacentral:lncRNA from 13 species